UACGUAGGGUGCAAGCGUUUAAUCGGAAUUACUGGGCGUAAAGCGUGCGCAGGCGGUUAUGUAAGACAGAUGUGAAAUGCCCGGGCUUAACCUGGGAACUGCAUUUGUGACUGCAUGGCUAGAGUUUGGCAGAGGGGGUAGAAUUCCACGUGUAGCAGUGAAAUGCGUAGAUAUGUGGAGGAACACCGAUGGCGAAGGCAGCCCCCUGGGUCAAGACUGACGCUCAUGCACGAAAGCGUGGGGAGCAAACAGG
rnacentral:rRNA from 1 species